UAGAGUCGCUUUGGGUUUAGUUGUUUCUUGAAUUCAAUUAGAUCAAGUCAAGUUAAGGGGUCAGGUAGCCACCUAUAAAUAGAUGUGGUGAGCACCUAUUUCAGUAUGCAAAAAUUAAUUGAAAGGCUUUUGCCCUAGCUCUCUUCCCUUCUCUCUUCUCUUCUUGCGACGCCUUCCCCCUCUCCCUAGGCUGCCGUCCAAGGCCGCCGCCCCCUCCUUCAUCCGGCUGCACCACCUCUGUCCCGAGAGACCAGCCACCUUCUCCCUCUUCUUCCUCUCCUCCUUGAUCCC
rnacentral:lncRNA from 1 species